UACGUAGGGUCCGAGCGUUGUCCGGAAUUACUGGGCGUAAAGAGCUCGUAGGUGGUUUGUCGCGUUGUUCGUGAAAACUCACAGCUCAACUGUGGGCGUGCGGGCGAUACGGGCAGACUGGAGUACUGCAGGGGAGACUGGAAUUCCUGGUGUAGCGGUGGAAUGCGCAGAUAUCAGGAAGAACACCCGUGGCGAAGGCGGCUCUCUGGGACGGGUACUGACGCUGAGACGCGAAAGCGUGGGGAGCGAACAGG
rnacentral:rRNA from 1 species